CUGGUGAGUGCCUUCGGGCAGGUGUUGGGGGGUUCUACACUCGGUUGUCGAACCUCAGUCGGUUAAGGUAACGAUUCAGUAGGGUUGUUCAAGAACGGAUGUGUCUGGUAAAGGAGGUUUGGUAAAGCUAUAUUCCCAGCCGGGGUCAGGGGUACGCCCGGUGUUAAGCGCAUCAUGCUACUUGGAGCUUUGCCCGGACAUCCCGGGUGGCUUACUGGUAAAAGGGGACAGAUCGGUGCUGUCACGAUUCAAUUCCCGCAGGUGUUUGUUCGGAGGGGUUUGACAAUGUUGGGUUUGGAUCCCGGGCACUUUGGGACCCAUUCUUCCCGGAUGAUGGCGGUAACAGAGGCGCCCCGCCUGGUUUUAAGUGAGGACCUAGGGAAACGUUUAGGCAGGUGGGAGUCAGUACGGUUUAAGUCCUGUUUCAGGCCAGUCUAUUUGGUUUAAUGGCUAUGGACGUAUGGGUUUGUGUUUGGGGCUAUGCCUUGUCGCUAAUUACUUUCGUUUCAGGUUUGGUGACAUGGUUGGUGGGUCAUUCUUAUAUCUAAGGGGCACAGAUGGGAGCCGCGUUUCGGUUCAAACGCAACUGGACUUUCCUUUGGAAUUGGUGGAGCAGGAGUGG